rnacentral:rRNA from 1 species
UACGUAGGCAGCAAGCGUUGUUCGGAGUUACUGGGCGUAAAGAGUGCGUAGGUGGUGCCCUAAGUCUGUUGUGAAAUCUCCCGGCUUAACUGGGAGGGUGCGGUGGAAACUGGGGUGCUUGAGUGUGGGAGAGGUAAGCGGAAUUCCUGGUGUAGCGGUGAAAUGCGUAGAUAUCUGGAGGAACACCGGUGGCGAAGGCGGCAUUCUGGACUGCAACUGACACUGAAGAACGAAAGCCAGGGAGCAAACGGG